rnacentral:tRNA from 1 species
UGGGAGAGCGCUGCGUUCGCAUCGCAGAGGUUGGGGGUUCGAAUCCCCCUAUCUCCA